AUGGAGAAAACAGGAUCAUCCCUUCAUUCUCCCACUAACGGAAGUCUCAUCACUAUUCUUAGUAGUGAUGGAGAUGGAAUGAGAGGGAUAAUUACAGGAUUAUACUCAAGUUCCUAGAGUCUUAUUUUCAAGUAAAAAAAUAAAAACCAGAACUCUAUAUACAUGUUUAGCAGGAUUAUUGAUUAUGAGCAAUACAUAUUACUUAACUUUGUUCACCAAACAAUGCUUCGUUCAUUAAAAUAUAAGUCCAAUUAAUCUGUAUUUUUGUUAGUUGAUACCAUGUUAUAUGAACUUCUAGGAUAUAAUAUAUUUGUAUGUGUAACACAAGGUUCAUAUACUAUGGAACGUAUCGUAUAGAUAAUAAAUACGUGUAUUACAAAAUGAGUGAAUUAAUCAUGUCAUCACAUGGUGCUACACCCAGCUUGUAUGUUUUCUGCACUUCUCACAAUUUGAUGUUGGUGUGUUGUUCAUGUUUUUUUAAAAUAAAAAUAAAUCUAAUACGACUAAUUUUUGCUUUACCUGUUGGCUAUAUGCAGAAGCUGGAUGGUAAGCAUGUAAGGCUCGCAUAUUAUUUUCAUGUGGUUACAUGGACGAGCACAAGUGGCCUUGUGACUGUCAUGUUCACUACCCCAGAUGAAAAUAAUAAUCCCUUGUAUGUUGAUGAAGAUAUCAUCCCUUUGUAUCUUGAACAUUGCCCUAAAAUCCUCCCCAAAACC
rnacentral:lncRNA from 1 species